rnacentral:rRNA from 1 species
UACGGGGGGGGCAAGCGUUGUUCGGAAUUACUGGGCGUAAAGGGCGCGUAGGCGGUUCGCUAAGUUGAAUGUGAAAACUCUGGGCUUAACCCAGAGCCUGCAUCCAAAACUGGCGAACUGGAGUACUGGAGGGGAAAGCGGAAUUCCUGGUGUAGCGGUGAAAUGCGUAGAUAUCAGGAGGAACACCAAUGGCGAAGGCAGCUCGCUGGGACGGUACUGACGCUGAGACGCGAAAGCGUGGGGAGCAAACAGG